rnacentral:rRNA from 1 species
CCUACGGGGGGCUGCAGUGAGGAAUAUUGGUCAAUGGACGAGAGUCUGAACCAGCCAAGUAGCGUGAAGGAUGACUGCCCUAUGGGUUGUAAACUUCUUUUAUAAAGGAAUAAAACGAGGCACGUGUGCCUUUUUGCAUGUACUUUAUGAAUAAGGAUCGGCUAACUCCGUGCCAGCAGCCGCGGUAAUACGGAGGAUCCGAGCGUUAUCCGGAUUUAUUGGGUUUAAAGGGAGCGUAGAUGGGUUGUUAAGUCAGUUGUGAAAGUUUGCGGCUCAACCGUAAAAUUGCAAUUGAUACUGGAAGUCUUGAGUACAGUUGAGGUAGGCGGAAUUCGUGGUGUAGCGGUGAAAUGCUUAGAUAUCACGAAGAACCCCGAUUGCGAAGGCAGCUUACUAAACUGUGACUGACAUUGAUGCUCGAAAGUGUGGGUAUCAAACAGGAUUAGAUACCCGGGUAGUC